rnacentral:lncRNA from 10 species
AAUACUGCCUAUUUUAUAAUAAUAUUUAAUAACCCAAGUUAUUAAAUUCAUUAGAUUGAGAAAACUUGUAUUCCUGUGAUUUUGAUGGGGAAGGAAGUAUGGUAUGCCAGAAUCACUGAAUUGUGGAAAAUGAUGGAUCAGCUUUUUUGCAAAAAAAUUUGAUAAGUCUGUUUUUUCCCCUUCAACUAAAUUAUAUUACUGAGUAGUGUUUUUUAUAAUGUUGUUUUAUUUAGGAAAGUAAAUACAAUGAGUGGGACUCAGCUUCAGUUUUCUCUUACUGUUCUGUUUUUGAGACAGAGUUUCGCUCAUGUUAUGCAGGCUGGAGUGCAGUGGUGCGGUCUCAGAUCACUGAAACCUCCACCUCCCAGGUUCAAGCGAUUGUCCUGCUUCAGCCUCCCAAGUCGGUGGGAUUACUGGCACCUGCCACUAUGUCCAGCUAAUUUUUGUAUUUUUAGUAGAGAUGGGGUUUCACCAUGUUGAUCAGGCUGGUCUCGAACUCCUGACCUCAGGUGAUCCACCCACCUCAGCCUCCCAACAUGCUUGGAUUGUAGGCAUGAACCACAAUACCCAACCUCUCAUACUGUGUUGCUGUUUUUUGUUUUUUUUUGAGAUGGAGUCCAGGCUGGAGUGCAGUGGUGUGAUCUUGGCUCACUGCAACCUCUGCCUCCUGGGUUCAAGCGAUUCUCCUUCCUCAGCCUCCUGAAUAGCUGGGAUCACAGGCAUGUACCACCACACCCAACUAAUUUUUUUUGUAUUUCUUGUAGAGACGGGGUUUCACCUUGUUGGCUGGGCUAGUCUUAAACUCCUGACCUCAGGUGAUCCACCCACCUUGGCCUCCCAGAGUGCUGAGAUUAUAGGUGAGAGCCACUGCACAUGGCCGGGAGUGGAUUAAUUUUAUGGUUCACCUUUUAGACCAUACAGAACAACUUUCUGACAUUGCCAUGGCAUUUGUAAACUGCCAAGGAGUUGAUGGGUGUAUUGCAGUGAGGAUGAGCAGAGGUCACUCUCGUCAUUAUCUUGGUUUUGGCUGGCUUUUUUACUGCAGCCCAUUUUAUCAGCAAGGUCUUUAUGACCUGUAUAUUGUGCUGACCUCCCUCACCCUGUGACUUAGCCUUAACCAUCUGGGAAUGCAGCUCAGUAAGUCUUAGCCUCAUUUUACCCAGCUCCUACUUAAGAUCGAGUUGCUCUCUUUCAAAUGCUUCUGACAGUAUUGCUGCUUUCUUUAAGGUUCCUGAAAGAGAGAGAGGAAAUCUUGGAUUUUUCAUGGCUGUGAACCACUGCAAGUAUUGAGGAAAUGUUUACUACUUUCAGCCUCAUAAUCCUGCAGUCAUUUGGCACCUGUGAGUCAGGUGCAGGGGAACUGCCCCAUACAGUCUGGAGCAUUCAAUCUGGUGGGGAAAUGUGUAGUAAGUAGGAGAUAUUUACAGUGUAAGGUGUUAAGGUCUGGGGUAGAAUUAAGUAGAAUAAGGGGUUGAGGAGGCAGAGGGUGUGAUUGGGGCAGCCUUGAUGAUAUGUGAUGAGCACAUUCUGCAGUUGGCCUCACCUCUUUCUAAAACUUCCACUUUUUUCACUCUCACCUUCAACAAUUGGUUCUUUUUUAUUUUAUAGAAAAUUUGUUAGAAUUAGGUUUAUAUAUUUUCUUGAAUUAACAGAAUAAUUUAACAUCACUCUCUAGUGUGACUAAAAGCCUCUAAUCCUUUACUGUUUUUUGUUUAUGGGCAUAUUUGUUUUUACAGCUAUAAUAAUUAUUUCAUUUUGUGUGGUUUCUCAAAAACACAUGUUUCUUAUAUCAAAGAGUCUCUAUACUAGAGUCCUUCAGAUUUGGUGCUAAUAACAUUAAGAAUUUAAGACAGGUCUUGAGAUGUUAGAGGAAAGCCAGUCUAAGAACACAGAAAUUAAUUGUUAAUUUAUUUUGAGUUGACAUUUAAGUUGAGGUGUGGAGGUGGAGGAGACAGUUGGAUAAAUGAGUUUGGAAGUAAGGAGAAAGAUCUGGGAAUAGAUACAAUUUUGGAUUUUAUAGUUGCGUUUUCAUAGCAAUUGUUGUUACUGCCAAAAUAAUUCAUCAGUGAGCUCCCUGACAGCUCCCCAACCUUUCUUUUUAAAGAAACAGGAUUGGCAGGGUGUGGUGGCCCAUGUCUGUAAUCCCAGCAUUUUGGAAGGCAGAUCACCUGAGGUCGGGAGUUCAAGACCAGCCUGACCAGCAUGGAGAAACCCCAUCUCUACUAAAAAUACAAAAUUAGCUGGGUGUGGUGGUGUGUGACUGUAAUCUCAGCUACUUGGGAGGCUGAGGCAGGAGAAUAACUUGAACCCGGGAGACAGAGGUUGCAGUGAGCUGAGAUCCCACCAUUGCACUCCAGCCUGGGUAACAAGAGUCAAACUCCAUCUCAAAAAAAACCAGGGUCUUGUUAUGUUGUCUGGGCUGGACUAGAACUCCUGUGCUCAAGUUAUCCUCCUGCCUCAGUCUCCUAAGUAGCUGGGGCUACAGGCACAUGCCAGCAUGUCCAGCUUUGAGCCACUCCCACCCAUCAUGUUGUAAAAUAUUUAAAUGUUACAGAGGUGUGAGGGAGAUGUGUAUAUAAACAGCACAGUAAAUUGCUUGAAUCUUUUUUUAGAGUUCUGUUUGGAUGUGGCUUCAGAGCAGGGAUUAAUCAAUUUAUUUAUACUUUUUUCUUUUCUUUUUUUUUUUUUUUGAGGUGGAUUCUCACUCUGUCACCCAGGUUGUAGUGCAGUGGCGAAGUCUCAGCUCACUUCAGCCUCUGCUUCCUGGAUUCAAGUGAUUCUCUUGCCUCAGCCUCCUGAGUAGCUGGGACUACAGGUACCUGCCACCAUACCUGGCUGACUUUUUUUUGUUUUUUGUAUUUUUGGUAGAGACAGGCUUUCACCAUGUUGACCAGGCUGGUCUCGAACUCCUGACUCAUGUGAUCCACCUGUCUCAACCUCCCAAAGUGCUGGGAUUACAGGUAUGAGUCACUGCGCCUGGCUGUUUUAUUUUACAUUUUUAAAUUACAAUUUUUAUACCUAUUCAGAAGUAGAGAAAAUAGUACAAUGACCGCUAAAAUACCCAUUCCUCAAUUUCUGUGAUCUUUAAGAUUGUCCCACGUUUUGUUCUUCUGUUCUUUUACCUCCCUUUGCAGGAAUAUUGUAAAGCAAAUCAGUCAUCACAUCAUUUUAUCUGUUCAGUGUGCAUCCCCGAACAGCAUUUAUGUAUUCCUACACAGCCACUAUCUCAUCACAUCUGACAAAAUGAACAAUGAUUUUUUUGGUAUCAGCUCAUAUGCAGCCCUUAGCUGAGUCUCCUCACUCUUUUCUUUCUUUCUUUCUUUUUUUUUUUUUUUUUUUUGAGACAGAGUCUUGCACUGUCGCCCAGGCUGCAGUGCAAUGGUCUAAUCUCGGCUCACUGCAGCCUCUGCCCCCUGUGCUCCAACAAUUCUCCUGCCUCAGCCUCCUGAGGAGCUGGGAUUACAGGCGCAUGCCACCACACCCGGCUAAUUUUUGUAUUUUUAGUAGAGACGGGGUUUCGCCAUAUUGGCCAGGCUGGUCUUGAACUCCUGACCUCAGGUGAUCCUCCCACCUCGGCCUCCCAGAGUGCUGGGAUUACAGGUGUGAGCCACUGCACCUAGCCAAGUUUCCUCACUCUUACCUGAACAGUAUCUCAUUUUCUCAUUAUCUGAAAAAUUUUGCUUUAAAUCUGGAUCCAAACAAUCUUCAUGUGCUAACUUUGGUUGUUAUGCCUCUUGUAAUCUAAACAGGCCUCUGCUUACUUUUUAAAUUUCCCAUUCCAUUAAUUCUUUGUGCAAAGUUUUUUAUUUUUAUUUAUUUUUUUAAUAGCAUGCUCACAAGGUUGAAGGGGUAGUAAAGAAGAUCUUGUUGUUUCCGUGUAGAUGAAAGUUUAGCCUGAAAUGUGCCAGUUUGCAGCAACCAAAGGAGGAGGGUUAUUACGGUCUUGAGCAGUUAGUAGCAAAGGGCUGCUUCCAAAUAGUAUUUGCAGGCCAGGUGCAGUGGCUCACACCUAUAAUCCCAGCACUUUGGGAGGCUGAGGUGGGUGGAUCACCUGAGGUAAGGAGUUCGAGACCAGCCUGGCCAACAUGGUGAAACCCCAUCUCUACUAAAAAUACAAAAAAUUAGCCAGGCAUGGUGGCUGGCACCUGUAAUCCCAGCUACUCGGGAGGCUGAAGCAGGAGAAUCACUUGAAGCUGGGAGGCAGAGGCUGCUAUGAACUGAGAUCACAGCACUGCACUCCAGCCUGGGCAACAGAGUGAAACUCUGCAACAACAACAACAACAACAGUAAAAAAGGUGACUCUGCGAACUCCUUUUGAAAAAACUCUCAUCAUAUCAGGACUGUUUUACUAGCUGUUAGACCACCAUUGUACUGGCUACUAUAACAUUUCUUGGUAUUCUUUCUUGACUUGAACUAAUUAUUUCCUACUUGCCACACUAAAGGUAAGAGAUUACAUGUACUUCCUGUUAUAUUUCACUGCAUUAAGACAUUCUUUAUCAGCAUUUCUUAAAAUCAUAGAGAGUCAUUGGCCAAUAUCUUUGUGGGACUUGCAGUUGGUUUCUUAGCUUU